GACGAACGCUGGCGGCGUGCUUAACACAUGCAAGUCGAACGGGUCUGCCCUGUUUUUUGCGGGGUGGGUCAGUGGCGAACGGGUGAGUAACACGUGAGUAACCUGCCCCUCACUUCUGGAUAACCGCUUGAAAGGGUGGCUAAUACGGGGUGUUCUGGCUGUGCCGCAUGGUGUGGCUGGGAAAGAUUCACUUUUGUGGUGUUUUGGUGGGGGAUGGGCUCGCGGCCUAUCAGCUUGUUGGUGGGGUGAUGGCCUGCCAAGGCUUUGACGGGUAGCCGGCCUGAGAGGGUGGGCGGUCACACUGGGACUGAGGUACGGCCCAGACUCCUGCGGGAGGCAGCAGUGGGGGGUAGUGCACAAUGGGCGGAAGCCUGAUGCAGCGACGUCGCGUGAGGGAUGGAGGCCUUCGGGUUGUGAACCUCUUUCGCCGGUGAAGAAGGUCCUGCUCUUUGUGGUGGGGUUGACGGUAGCCGGGUUAUGAAGCGCCGGCUAACUACGUG
rnacentral:rRNA from 1 species